CUCUCUGCUGCCUGGGCUAAUGGUGCUAGUAAUGCCUUUGGGGGAACAUGGCAUGAAACACAGAGGCGGGCGCUAAUGAGUCUAGCGGACCUCUCCGGCACACAGGAUGAAUGAGAGCAAUGGAGAGAGAAGACGCUGAAAGGGAAGAAGGAGCCGCACUUGGUGGAAGACGUAUUCCUUUUAAAUUCCACGGCAAAUGAGGGGGAUCGGUCGUGGAGGAGGCAACAAUGAAGGAUACGACCAACGCGAUAUGGAGCUACAGCACCAGGCCAUGAAACGUGCUGUAGGUGGAUUCACACUUGAAGCCCGGUCGUCCUCCUCCCGCAGCUUGUUCCCUUUUAACAAACGUUUAAAACGUCGCCCGCCGCCCUAAUCUGGCCGCGAGUGGAAGGAUCACCUUGCCCGACCUUUCCUUUGAACUCCGGAGGGUUAGCGAAGGGCAGAGCCGGUGGUCCGAUUAAAGGAGACGCUGAUGGAGCGGCUCCUUGAGAACACGGGCCGCGGGGCGGCGACACCCGGGGCCCCUGCACCGGGUCGCUCCGUGGGGGGCCUCGAGUCGAGUGUGAGUAAUUACAUAUUCCAGCAACUCAGGGAUGUCAGCAGUCGAUGCAGCAGCCUCGGAUGCCGACUCCAGGCCUCCACUCCUCAAACCGCUGCUGCUGCAGUAAAGCGGCUCUCGCCUGCUUUGAGUUCCUGUUUCCCCGUGUUUUCUGGCUGCCAGACGUCCAUCAUGCAGCAGGUCUUCCUCCUCCAAGCGCGGUCCCAUCAUAUGAAUUAUUGGAGGUAAUUUUACGGUCAUGACAGAGCAGCGUGAGGGGAACUUGGCUCCUCUUCGCAGCUGGGCCCCUCCGAGGGCCCCGUCGCGAGCGGGAGAUGGAAACAUUGAUGCGCGCCAUUCAUCUUCAUGUCAGAGGUGUGUUCGUCUGUGAGUACACGUGCGUGAGACGUCUUUCACUGAUAGAUGUUCUGACAGCGCAGGCGUCUUCCGCGAAGGAGGAAGCAGCCUGUUCGGAUUUGUGAAGAGCUCAGAAGCUGCAGAUGUCAGGCAGCAGAGCAACGAGUGGUUCGAGCGCGAGACUGAAGAUCCGCGUGAAAACGCAAAUAUCCACAAAGUGGAGGAGACGUGCGAACAAAAUGCAUAACCAGGAAAAAAGAUCUGUGCCUGUGAGUGAGUGGCUGGACCGGUAGUAUGGAGAAUAUUUGACUUAUGCUUGGAAGACAAUUAAGUGAGGUGCCCAUAAAAUAGAUGCAAUAUAAGCUUGAUGAGUUCGAUCCUCGCGCUGCAAAAAUCAGCAGGAGACAAACGAACCCAAACCAACGUGAGCCUUUAAAAACAGCAGUUUGCUGAAUGGGUCUGAUUAAAACAGCUGAUUGUUAAUGUAAUAUGGCUCCUUUAUGUCCUGUAGGCUUCAUUUCUGCAAUCACCGAGGCUCUUACACGCUGUUAAGUAUAUCCAAAUCAAUUCCAUUGAUUUUGAUGCUUAAUUACUUUGUUUUAGUAUCAGCGGUGAGGACGGUGGGCAGUGGAAAAGCCCUGAUAUCUCGAACCAGCUCCUUAAAAGGCUUUUUUUAACUCUAAACCUUUUUAUGAUCUUCACCGGUAAAUAAUUUCAGCCAGCGUUCGGCGUCUCUUUAAAGCGUCUCCCCUUUCACACACAUCAACAAAAGGCUCGUCUGGAACAAACUGAGUAUCUCUCAAAAACCCAUUCAGUGUCGAGGGCGCGGAUGAAACGUAUUCGCGUUUGACCUCGAAGGGAUAUUUUGAAUCGAGGCGUUUGAACCUACAUUAAAAAAGUUUUUUUUUCUCUUUUUUUAGCAUGAAUAUGAUUCAAAUUCAGAUUUCCCACAGUAACAACUGCCAGUAGCCGCCAAAGCGUCGCCCUCCGCUCGCUGUGAACGUAUCCUUGCCCUUUUGCUCUGUUGAUUCUGUUGUAAUGAGCUGCAUUAAUGUGCCCAUACAAACACAGAGGCCCUGAGUUAACUAGAUGUUUUGAUGUCUGCAUUCACAAUGCAAACACGGGGAAAAUGAAUUUUUGUGAUCGGCAGUUUCCUUCGGAGGGGGAGUUGAUAAGAGCAGAUAAACACCUUGGAGAGUCACAGGCGGGGAUUAAAAUACACAGACGACUGUGUCUCGCCAAAAUAAAAGA
ensembl:lncRNA